rnacentral:rRNA from 1 species
UACGUAGGGUGCAAGCGUUGUCCGGAAUUAUUGGGCGUAAAGAGCUCGUAGGCGGUUUCGUAAGUCGGAUGUGAAAACUCCAGGCUCAACUUGGAGACGCCAUUCGAUACUGCGAUGACUUGAGUCCGGUAGGGGAGUGUGGAAUUCCUGGUGUAGCGGUGAAAUGCGCAGAUAUCAGGAGGAACACCGGCGGCGAAGGCGGCACUCUGGGCCGGUACUGACGCUGAGGAGCGAAAGCGUGGGUAGCAAACAGG